UUUCUUAAGUCUGAUGUGAAAGCCCACGGCUCAACCGUGGAGGGUCAUUGGAAACUGGGAGACUUGAGUGCAGAAGAGGAAAGUGGAAUUUCCAUGUGUAGCGGUGAAAUGCGCAGAGAUAUGGAGGRAACACCAGUGGCGAAGGCGACUUUCUGGUCUGUAACUGACGCUGAUGUGCGAAAGCGUGGGGAUCAAACAGGAUUAGAUACCCUGGUAGUCCACGCCGUAAACGAUGAGUGCUAAGUGUUAGGGGGUUUCCGCCCCUUAGUGCUGCAGCUAACGCAUUAAGCACUCCGCCUGGGGAGUACGACCGCAAGGUUGAAACUCAAAGGAAUUGACGGGGACCCGCACAAGCGGUGGAGCAUGUGGUUUAAUUYGAAGCAACGCGAAGAACCUUACCAAAUCUUGACAUCCUUUGACCACUCUAGAGAUAGAGYUUUCCCCUUCGGGGGACAAAGUGACAGGUGGUGCAUGGUUGUCGUCAGCUCGUGUCGUGAGAUGUUGGGUUAAGUCCCGCAACGAGCGCAACCCUUAAACUUAGUUGCCAGCAUUUAGUUGGGCACUCUAGGUUGACUGCCGGUGACAAACCGGAGGAAGGUGGGGAUGACGUCAAAUCAUCAUGCCCCUUAUGAUUUGGGCUACACACGUGCUACAAUGGACAAUACAAAGGGCAGCUAAACCGCGAGGUCAUGCAAAUCCCAUAAAGUUGUUCUCAGUUCGGAUUGUAGUCUGCAACUYGACUACAUGAAGCUGGAAUCGCUAGUAAUYGUAGAUCAGCAUGSUACGGUGAAUACGUUCCCGGGUCUUGUACACMCC
rnacentral:rRNA from 1 species